AUUGAACGCUGGCGGAAUGCUUUACACAUGCAAGUCGAGCGGCAGCGCGGGGGCAACCCUGGCGGCGAGCGGCGAACGGGUGAGUAAUACAUCGGAACGUGUCCUUCAAGUGGGGGAUAGCUCGGCGAAAGCCGGAUUAAUACCGCAUAAGCUCUGAGGAGGAAAGCGGGGGACUGGUAACGGCCUCGCGCUGUUGGAGCGGCCGAUGUCGGAUUAGCUAGUUGGGGGGUAAAGGCCCACCAAGGCGACGAUCCGUAGCUGGUCUGAGAGGAUGAUCAGCCACACUGGAACUGAGACACGGUCCAGACUCCGUACGGGAGCAG
rnacentral:rRNA from 1 species